UCUCCGUAGGUGAACCUGCGGAGGGAUCAUUACAAGUGACCCCGGUCUUACCACCGGGAUGUUCAUAACCCUUUGUUGUCCGACUCUGUUGCCUCCGGGGCGACCCUGCCUUCGGGCGGGGGCUCCGGGUGGACACCUCAAACUCUUGCGUAACUUUGCAGUCUGAGUAAACUUAAUUAAUAAAUUAAAACUUUUAACAACGGAUCUCUUGGUUCUG
rnacentral:misc_RNA from 1 species